rnacentral:tRNA from 1 species
GACGGUAUAGCUCAGUGGUAGAAUGUGUGCUUAGCAUGCACAAGGUCCUAGGUUUAACCCCCAGUACCUCUA